GGGUUGUGAGGUUAAGCGACUAAGCGUACACGGUGGAUGCCCUGGCAGUCAGAGGCGAUGAAGGACGUGCUAAUCUGCGAUAAGCGUCGGUAAGGUGAUAUGAACCGUUAUAACCGGCGAUUUCCGAAUGGGGAAACCCAGUGCAAUUCGUUGCACUAUCGUUAAGUGAAUACAUAGCUUAACGAAGCGAACCGGGGGAACUGAAACAUCUAAGUACCCCGAGGAAAAGAAAUCAACCGAGAUUCCCCCAGUAGCGGCGAGCGAACGGGGAGGAGCCCAGAGUCUGAAUCAGCGCGUGUGUUAGUGGAACGGUCUGGAAAGUCCGGCGGUACAGGGUGAUAGCCCCGUACACUAAAAUGCACACGUUGUGAACUCGAAGAGUAGGGCGGGACACGUGGUAUCCUGUCUGAAUAUGGGGGGACCAUCCUCCAAGGCUAAAUACUCCUGACUGACCGAUAGUGAACCAGUACCGUGAGGGAAAGGCGAAAAGAACCCCGGCGAGGGGAGUGAAAAAGAACCUGAAACCGUGUACGUACAAGCAGUGGGAGCCUCUUUAUGGGGUGACUGCGUACCUUUUGUAUAAUGGGUCAGCGACUUAUAUUCUGUAGCAAGGUUAACCGUAUAGGGGAGCCGCAGGGAAACCGAGUCUUAACUGGGCGUUAAGUUGCAGGGUAUAGACCCGAAACCCGGUGAUCUAGCCAUGGGCAGGUUGAAGGUUGGGUAACACUAACUGGAGGACCGAACCGACUAAUGUUGAAAAAUUAGCGGAUGACUUGUGGCUGGGGGUGAAAGGCCAAUCAAACCGGGAGAUAGCUGGUUCUCCCCGAAAGCUAUUUAGGUAGCGCCUCGUGAACUCAUCUUCGGGGGUAGAGCACUGUUUCGGCUAGGGGGUCAUCCCGACUUACCAACCCGAUGCAAACUACGAAUACCGAAGAAUGUUAUCACGGGAGACACACGGCGGGUGCUAACGUCCGUCGUGAAGAGGGAAACAACCCAGACCGCCAGCUAAGGUCCCAAAGUCAUGGUUAAGUGGGAAACGAUGUGGGAAGGCACAGACAGCCAGGAUGUUGGCUUAGAAGCAGCCAUCAUUUAAAGAAAGCGUAAUAGCUCACUGGUCGAGUCGGCCUGCGCGGAAGAUGUAACGGGGCUAAACCAUGCACCGAAGCUGCGGCAGCGACACUAUGUGUUGUUGGGUAGGGGAGCGUUCUGUAAGCCGUUGAAGGUGGCCUGUGAGGGUUGCUGGAGGUAUCAGAAGUGCGAAUGCUGACAUAAGUAACGAUAAAGCGGGUGAAAAGCCCGCUCGCCGGAAGACCAAGGGUUCCUGUCCAACGUUAAUCGGGGCAGGGUGAGUCGACCCCUAAGGCGAGGCCGAAAGGCGUAGUCGAUGGGAAACAGGUUAAUAUUCCUGUACUCGGUGUUACUGCGAAGGGGGGACGGAGAAGGCUAUGUUAGCCGGGCGACGGUUGUCCCGGUUUAAGCAUGUAGGCGGAAGUUUAGGUAAAUCCGGUCUUUUUAACGCUGAGGUGUGAUGACGAGGCACUACGGUGCUGAAGUAACAAAUGCCCUGCUUCCAGGAAAAGCCUCUAAGCAUCAGGUAACAACGAAUCGUACCCCAAACCGACACAGGUGGUCAGGUAGAGAAUACCAAGGCGCUUGAGAGAACUCGGGUGAAGGAACUAGGCAAAAUGGUGCCGUAACUUCGGGAGAAGGCACGCUGAUGGUAGGUGAAGCGACUUGCUCGUGGAGCUGAAAUCAGUCGAAGAUACCAGCUGGCUGCAACUGUUUAUUAAAAACACAGCACUGUGCAAACACGAAAGUGGACGUAUACGGUGUGACGCCUGCCCGGUGCCGGAAGGUUAAUUGAUGGGGUUAUCCGUAAGGAGAAGCUCUUGAUCGAAGCCCCGGUAAACGGCGGCCGUAACUAUAACGGUCCUAAGGUAGCGAAAUUCCUUGUCGGGUAAGUUCCGACCUGCACGAAUGGCGUAAUGAUGGCCAGGCUGUCUCCACCCGAGACUCAGUGAAAUUGAACUCGCUGUGAAGAUGCAGUGUACCCGCGGCAAGACGGAAAGACCCCGUGAACCUUUACUAUAGCUUGACACUGAACAUUGAGCCUUGAUGUGUAGGAUAGGUGGGAGGCUUUGAAGUGUGGACGCCAGUCUGCAUGGAGCCAACCUUGAAAUACCACCCUUUAAUGUUUGAUGUUCUAACGUAGACCCGUGAUCCGGGUUGCGGACAGUGUCUGGUGGGUAGUUUGACUGGGGCGGUCUCCUCCCAAAGAGUAACGGAGGAGCACGAAGGUUAGCUAAUCCUGGUCGGACAUCAGGAGGUUAGUGCAAUGGCAUAAGCUAGCUUGACUGCGAGCGUGACGGCGCGAGCAGGUGCGAAAGCAGGUCAUAGUGAUCCGGUGGUUCUGAAUGGAAGGGCCAUCGCUCAACGGAUAAAAGGUACUCCGGGGAUAACAGGCUGAUACCGCCCAAGAGUUCAUAUCGACGGCGGUGUUUGGCACCUCGAUGUCGGCUCAUCACAUCCUGGGGCUGAAGUAGGUCCCAAGGGUAUGGCUGUUCGCCAUUUAAAGUGGUACGCGAGCUGGGUUUAGAACGUCGUGAGACAGUUCGGUCCCUAUCUGCCGUGGGCGCUGGAGAAUUGAGGGGGGCUGCUCCUAGUACGAGAGGACCGGAGUGGACGCAUCACUGGUGUUCGGGUUGUCAUGCCAAUGGCAUUGCCCGGUAGCUAAAUGCGGAAAAGAUAAGUGCUGAAAGCAUCUAAGCACGAAACUUGCCCCGAGAUGAGUUCUCCCUGACUCCUUGAGAGUCCUGAAGGAACGUUAAAGACUAUGACGUUGAUAGGUCGGGUGUGUAAGCGUAGCGAUACGUUGAGCUAACCGAUACUAAUGAACCGUGAGGCUUAACCUUACAACGCCGAAGCUGUU
rnacentral:rRNA from 1 species